rnacentral:misc_RNA from 1 species
GGGCAUCAUGUGCAGAAAAAAAAGAAAAUAUCUGUGCGUGGUUCACUUGCGUCAUUACUUCCCUUCUAUGGUACGCACAGCUCAAAACCAACCCACCACCCCACCAAUCUCAUACGUAUAAUCUCCAUUUCCAUUUUAAGAAACCAAUUAAUUGGGCGAUUACCUUUCCAACUCCUUCCUUGAAACACCUUCCAUUUCUUCUUCUCUUUUUUUUU